AUUGAACGCUGGCGGCAUGCUUUACACAUGCAAGUUGAACGGCUGCACAGGGAGCUUGCUCCCGGGUGGCGAGUGGCGCACGGGUGAGUAAUACAUCGGAACGUGUCCUGUUGUGGGGGAUAACUGCUCGAAAGGGUGGCUAAUACCGCAUGAGACCUGAGGGUGAAAGCGGGGGAUCGCAAGACCUCGCGCAAUUGGAGCGGCCGAUGCCCGAUUAGCUUGUUGGUGAGGUAAAGGCUCACCAAGGCGACGAUCGGUAGCUGGUCUGAGAGGACGACCAGCCACACUGGGACUGAGACACGGCCCAGACUCCUACGGGAGGCAGCAGUGGGGAAUUUUGGACAAUGGGGGCAACCCUGAUCCAGCCAUGCCGCGUGCAGGAUGAAGGCCUUCGGGUUGUAAACUGCUUUUGUCAGGGACGAAAAGGACCGUGUUAAUACCAUGGUCUGCUGACGGUACCUGAAGAAUAAGCACCGGCUAACUACGUGCCAGCAGCCGCAGUAA
rnacentral:rRNA from 1 species